AAAACAGCCCUACGGGAGGCAGCAGUGGGGAAUAUUGCGCAAUGGAGGAAACUCUGACGCAGCGACGCCGCGUGAGUGAUGAAGGCCUUCGGGUUGUAAAGCUCUGUCGGCUGGGAAAAAUACCGAGUGCUCAUACCACUCGGUGAUGAUGGUACCAGCAAAGGAAGCACCGGCUAACUCUGUGCCAGCAGCCGCGGUAAUACAGAGGGUGCGAGCGUUGUUCGGAAUUACUGGGCGUAAAGCGCGUGUAGGCGGUCUAGAAAGUCAGGUGUGAAAUCCCGGAGCUUAACUCCGGACGUGCACUUGAAACUCCUAGGCUUGAGUAUGGUAGAGGAUGUGG
rnacentral:rRNA from 1 species